GUGUGAAAGCAAUGCACCACUACCCUCUCGAUUACAAGAUGCAGCAACUAUGGCUUCAUGACACUCAGUGUGUGUUACUUGAUGCUGAGGACUUAAUAGAUGAGAUUGCCUUGGAAAUCUCAAAAUUUACUCCCGACGACCUCAGCUAUCUCAUGGGUGAUGGCAACCGGUUGAGAAACUCUGUCUUAGCUGGGCUUAAGCUUAAUAUUCCAUCUUCCAUUGUUGAUAUGAGACAGCAACUGGAGGAUAUUGAGAGGAAGGCGGAUGCCAAUUUUAUGAAUGAGUUGUACAAAAUCAACCAGUUUCAGUCUGUAAGCAAGCUGCAAUCCAGUUCCCUGGUAGAUGCAUCCUGUGUAAUUGGAAGGGAAAAUGACAUGGAAAAAAUUCUAUCAUUGUUGUUGGCUAAUGACAUAAUGAAUGAAAUUUUUUCCGUCAUUGCAUUAGUGGGAAUGAUGGGAGUAGGAAAAACUACACUAGCCCUACAACAAUGAUGAUCAAGGUUCUGAAAACUGGUUCGAAUCAGCCGGUCGAAUCGGUUGAACCGUGAACUGAUGCCAAAUGCGAUUUGGUUAGAAGCAAAAACCGUCAAAUUCAAAAACUGACAUUAGACCGUUGAACCGGCCGGAAACCGGUCGGUCAAACCGAACCGUGAACCGGCCGGUUUUUGAAAUGGGACAAAAAUAAAAAUAAAAAAACGGUGCAUUAAAGCUUUGUGAACCCUAAUUCCUAACAUUUGCAAGCACCUCUCUCGGCCUCUCCUCUCCAGCACGCAGAAGUAGAAGUGCAGAACGCGAAGCAGCAGUGCAGCAGUUGGAGCUUCUGGCGCAACUUUUGUCAGCCACCGCCGCCGCCGCGCAGUCCGUGAGGCUAACGUCAGUCACCUCUGUUCGCGGCUUUGCGCAGCCACUUUCCGUCGCGCAGUGAGCUCGGAAAUCAGAACCACCGCCAGCGCCGCUUUCCAUCGCGCAGUGUAUUCCCGCCGGCACCAGUUGAAGUCUUUGUCAAUCUGUCUCCCUCUUGCAUGCUCUGUUGAAGGCGUCUUCGAGCUUCCAGGACAAACUCUAGCAAAGGCCCAAGGGAGGAGAAAUAUGGAAUGACUAAUAAACCCCGAGGAGAGCUUGAGGAUGCGCAACGAUCGAACAAAGGUGAAAGAGGUGUCUUCCGAAGUAUCAAAGUAUAUCCAGUGGAUCCAAAUGACGAGACUUAAUUAUGAACCACCUACGGAUUUACUUAGCAAGCUAUCUCUGAAGUGAAAAAACACGCAAAACUACUAUCUAAGUCGAACCGGUUGAACCUAUGAACCAGUGAACCAGUAGCUAGAGCAGUUUGAUGAUUGGUUCGAUUUUCAGAACCUUAAUGAUGAUGUGGCGGACAAUUUUGAAUUAAGAAUCUGGAUCUUCAUUUCUGGUGAUGAAGAUGCAAAAAGAAUUAUAAGGUUGAUGGUUGAAGCUUUUUGCGAGAAAAACUGAGUCGUCUAUAUGGAUCAAAUUCAAGUUACACUUCAAAAGGUACUCCGGAAAAAGAAAGUUUUAAUUGUACUAGAUGGCAUUUGCAAUGAAGAUGCAAAUGAUUGGGAGAUUCUUUGCUUGCCAUUCAAUGUUGCGGCUAAGGGGAGCAAAAUAUUGGUGACUACACAAGGUAUGUUUGUUUCAGAGAUGGUUGACACAAUUCCUAUGUACCAUGUGCACAUUUUAUCUGAUCAAGACUGUUAGAGAAUAAUAGAGAAAAGAGCAUUCUCAAGCCUUAUUCCGGAUGAUUUCAAACGCUCGGUGUUGGAGGAAAUUGGAUUCAAAAUUGCACAAAAAUACAACAAAUUACCAUUAAUAGUAAAGAUGUUUGAAAAUAUUUUGCGAUUUAAUCACGAUGAAAAGAAGUGGGAAGCUAUAUUGAAAAGCAAACUAGGGGAACUUCCAGCAUCUCAAAAUAUACUUUUAACAUUGAAAUCGAGUUAUGACCAGUUGCCUUCCUAUUUGCAAAGAUGUUUUGCUUACUGUUUUAUUUUUCCACUAAAUUAUAAAUUCAGCAGAGAUGAUUUGGUCAAGUUGUGGGUAUCUGAAGGCUUCAUUCAACAAAGCGGAGUAAGAAAAGCACAAGAAAUUGGUGGAGAAUAUUUUGAUAUGCUAGUUCAGAGGUCAUUUUUUCAACCUCGUCAGUGGAUUACGGUAACCAUCAAGUAUUUAGAAUGCAUAACCUCAUUCAUGAAUUUGCUGAAUUUGUUUCUGAUAGUCUAUGCAUUAGAGUGGAAGAUGGCAUGUCAUCUCUAAUUUACAAUCUUAAAGAUGUCAGACAUGCAUCUUUAAUCUGGGACGACGUUCAAACAGAACAUUUGAGUAUUUUUAGUAAAUGUGGUUGAAUGAGGACUCUUAUUUUAUUUUCUAAGGGUGGUGAUACCCUUAUCAAGAUGAUUCCUUCGGCGAAAUCAAUUUCAGUUAUUUGAGGGUUCUAAACUUGAGUUUUUGCGAUAUCAAAAAGUUACCUGAAGCUACUGGUACAGCAAAACACAUGCGCCAUCUUGAUGUGUCCAGCACUCCUAUUAAGGAGCUACUUGAAUUAAUUACAAAUCUGAAUGGGAUGGAAACGGUUAAACUCAACUGCAUGCAGUUGUUGAACUUAAGCAUUUCCAUAUCAUUCAAAUUUGUAAUUGAUUCAGGUAGCUCCUUAAUAGGAGUGCUGGACACAUCAAGAUGGCGCAUGUGUUUUGCUGUACCAAUAGCUUCAGGGAACUCUCUGAUAUCGCAAAAACCCAAGUUUAGAAUCCUCAAAUAACUGAAAUUGAUUUCGCCAAAGGAAUCAUCUUGACAGGGGUAUCAUCACCCUUAGAAAACAAAAGAAGAGUCCUCAUUCGAUCACAUUUACUAAAAAUGCUCAAGUGUUCUGUUUGAACGUCGUCACAGAUUAAAGAUGCAUGUGACAUCAUGUGACAUCUUUAAGAUUGGAAAUUGGGGAUGACAUGCCAUCUUCCACUCUAAUGCAUAGACUAUCAGAAACAAAUUCAGCAAAUUCAUGAAUGAGGUUAUGCAUUCUAAAUACUUGAUGGUUACCGUGAUCCACUGGUGAUGGUUAAAAAAAUGACCUCUGAAUUAGGAUAUCAAAAUAUUCUCCACCAAUUUCUUGUGUCCUUCUUACUCCGCUUUGUUGAAUGAAGCCUUCAGAUACCCAAAAUAUUCUCCACCAAUUCUUCUCUGCUGAAUUUAUAAUUUGGAGGAAAAAUAGAACAGUAAGCAAAACAUCUUUGCAAACAAGAAGGCAAUUGGUCAUAACUCGAUUUCAAUGCUGAAAGUAUAUUUCGAGAUGCUGGAAGUUCCCAUAAUUUGCUUCUCAAUAUGACUUCUCACUUCUUUUGAUCGUGAUUAAAUCGCAAAACAUUUCCAAACAUCUUUGCUAUCAAUGGUAAUUUGUUGCAUUUUUGUGCAAUUUUGAAUCCAAUUUCCUCCAACACUGAGCGUUUUGAAUCAUCCGGAGUAAGGCUUGAGAAUGCUCUUUUCUCUAUUAUUCUCCUACAGUCUUUAUCAGAUAAAGUGUGCACAUGGUAUAUAGGAAUUGUGGCAACCAUCUCUGAAACAAACAUACUUUUAUCCGUCUUUGCGAACUCUUACAUUGUGCAAUAUGCAAGACUUAAGAGAAUAGAGGACUUUGAAGGCGGGUGACAUGGCUAAACUUGAGAAUAUAGAAUUUUCUGAAUGUCCCAAGCUUAAAUGCUUACCAAGGGGACAACUACCAAGCUCGGUGAAAUGUUUAAUCAUCAGAAAUUGUAUCAAUUUAAAAGCUCGAUGUAUGGACCGUGGGAGUGAAUAUUGGAAUACGAUACAAUCAAUCCCUAAAGUUGAGAUUGACCAGCAGGAUUGUCAGGGCAACAUCUGAUAUAGGACAGAUAAAUGCCAGCCUUGUUGGGUGGAGAAUAUGCUGCAGCAAGUAACUCUCUUUAUUGGCCUAAAAUCAAUGAAAGACUUGUAGGAUUAUCAGAUGCUGUGAUGAAUAACAGUUGCCCUGUACUUAAAUGAACUUGCUGAAGCAGAGAUGCUUGUCAAAGAAAGAAAAGGUUGAAGCAUUUUGGUUUGUGAUUAUCGUUGUUGCGCUAGAUGCAGGGAGCAAUUAUUGGUACUACAAGAGUACGGCAUGUAAAAACUGUUUCAAAAAAGUAGAUAUUGGACAAGAAUGUUAUUGAUUUUGAUUAAAUAAGCUGUGGUUACCAUGUGAA